rnacentral:lncRNA from 1 species
CUUUCCUUAAACGGGCCCGGGCUUUUUCCAGCUGUUCAAUGGCUGUUUCCCGGAGUUCUUCUGAAUUUCGAAUAGUUCUCAAGAUUCUCUGUUUUCGAUUAUCUAAUAAAUCACUUAAUGAAAGUAGAUUCUCUUUCCAUUCAUUUCAAAAUGUCUAUGAUCUCUUCCCGAACCAAACAUGAAUCUUUCAAUUCAUUUGGCUCUCACACUCAAUUCCUUAUAGGAAAUUUCCCCAUAUUUAUUAUGGAAUGAGCCUAUCCUCUUUUCUCUAUUUCUAAAAAUAUGGAAAAUGAUUAUCAAUACAAGACCCAAAUAUUGGGAGGACUCUUCUGACCAAACAAAUAAUUGUCAGCAAAGUUGUUUUUUUUCUUGAAAUCCAAAGAAUUCUUAUUAAUUUAUACGUAGGUCAUCAAUUCCGCAUUGUAGAAAAGUAGAAACGGAGGCGUUAAACAAAACACCUUUUUUCCUAUUUUUCAUCAUAAAGAGAAUUCAAGUCAUUUUAUCGACAUGAGUGUUCUAUAUCGAAAAAAUUCUAAUUUCCCUAUUAACAUAGUGGUAGAAAGAAUACUAGACUGCGUCGAAACUUCAAACUCGUUAGCUUUAACCAUAGUAAUGUUCCAAAAUUCUUGGUUGAUAGAGAAUCAAAGUAGAUUUACCAAUGAAUCGCGAAAUGCUAUGGUUCUUAACUACUUUUUUCGUUAUUUAGUAAGAAGUCAUUCGCCGGAUCAUGCACAUUUUUCUAGUUAUAACAAAAAAAGUGCAGUUGGGUGGAUCCAAUCUAUUCUUUGAAAUAAACAACUCGCACACACUCCCUUUCCAAAAAAAAUCAAUACACCUAGCACUGCACUUAGAUUUAUUAGAUUUGUUGCUAAAAUAUCGGUAUCAAACCCGAAACUUCCGUCGGUUAUAUUUUGCAUAUGAUCGCAUCUCCUCUUAUGGAUAGACUAAUUUUCUUUCUACGAUUCCAAGUUUUUUUUAUUCGUUUUUGUAUAUGAUAGUUUAUUCUAUAAUCGAAUUAUUGAAUAUGAAUAUAUCGACUUAUUCUAUUUUUAUUCUUACUAAUAAUGAAUAGUAGUAAGAAUAAAAAUAUACUAAGAAGACUAUUCUAUAUUUUGAAUUGGUUAGUCAAUUGAAAGAUUCCCUAUAAGAAUUAUACUUCUUAGAAGUAAAUACUUAGUUGUUUUCAACACUUUCUAAAUAAAAAAGGGGGUCAUUGGACUAAAGAAAGGGACGGAAGAAGGCAAAUCCAUAUGUUAAUCCGAAUGAAAAAAAAAUUGUAGGAGUCAAAUCGAAAUCGAAUUAGCAAGAGCAGCAACGAAAAUCCAUGGAAAAAAAAACAAUAUGUAUUUUUUUUAUAAAUAUUAAACAAAAGGAUUGGCAAAUAAAAGCGCUAAUGCUACAACCAGCCCAUAAAUAGUUAAAGCUUCCAUAAAAGCCAAACUAAGUAAUAAAGUACCCCGUAUUUUGUCCUCUGCUUCCGGUUGUCUCGCAAUCCCCUCUACAGCUUGCCCUGCAGCUGUGCCUUGACCAACUCCAGGUCCAAUAGAAGCAAGCCCGACGGCCAACCCAGCAGCGAUAACAGAAGCAGCAGCAAUCAGUGGAUUCAUGAUAAGUUUCUCCUAUUCCAAAUAAAAUUAAGAAAUAGUUAAUAAUAUAAUCAACAAAAAAUAUAUGACUUAAUUAUUUCAUUCUUCCUAGUUAUCUUUCUCUAGUCGAAGUGUAAUUCAAAAUUUCAAACGGAAUAAUUUUGAUUGAAUUAUCUCAAUUAUUUCGAUAUUUACUUUUUUCGUUUCUACCCUUGUAGUUUUUUGUGAAUACAGACAAUUUUUGGUCUUAUCUUACAUUUAUUUUAAACCUUCCUUUUUCUUUGAUUUCAUUUUAUAUUCAAUUCACAAUUACAAGAGAUGGAAGUGGUCUUUUUUUUUUGAAUCCCUACCUAAAUUUAGAGUAGUAGCAGGACAAAUUUAGAUAGAUAGUCAUCUAUAACUAAUGAAUAUCUACUAUGACAUAUACAUGUGUUUGUUCCAUACCGUAAACCAAUUCGUUGUAUCUUCGAUUCAAUCGUAUUCGAGAAUCAUUCUUGGAAAAAAUCCCCCAGCUGUCUUAUAACGAUUAGAUUAUAUAUACGCCUAGUUCGACCCCCUCACCCUUUUUUGAAUUGAAUCUCUAUUUUUUGUUUAAUUCCCUGGUAAUUGUUUUAAUUUUAUUUAUACUUUUUGAUUGUUAUGAAAACUUUUCCAAAUUUCUUUGGAUUUUUAUCUUUCUGUUCCUUAAGUAGAUUAUCGCGAGCCAUACAUACUUUGUCGCGGUCUAAAAUCCUAUUUUCAUAACUAGUCAAUGAUGCCCUUCCAUGGAUUCACCUAUAUACGCCGCAGCUAAAGUAGCGAAAAUAAGAGCUUGAAUACCGCUUGUAAAUAAUCCAAGGAACAUAACAGGGAUAGGAACUACUAAAGGUACUAACGAAACAAGAACAACAACUACUAAUUCAUCCGCUAAUAUAUUUCCGAAAAGUCGAAAACUAAGUGAUAAGGGUUUUGUGAAAUCUUCUAAGAUGUUAAUCGGUAAAAGGAUUGGCGUUGGUUGGAUGUAUUUACCAAAAUAGGCCAAUCCUUUUUUUGAAAUACCCGCAUAGAAAUAGGCUACUGACGUAAGUAAAGCUAAUGCAACAGUAGUAUUUAUAUCAUUUGUGGGUGCAGCUAACUCUCCAUGAGGUAACUUUAUAAUUUUCCAAGGCAAAAGGGCCCCUGACCAAUUCGAAACAAAAAUAAAUAGAAACAGAGUUCCAAUAAACGGAACCCAUGGACCAUAUUCUUCUCCAAUCUGAGUUUUGCUCACGUCUCGAAUGAAUUCAAGGACAUAUUCAAAGAAAUUCUGACCAGACGUGGGAAUAGUUUGCGGAUUUCUAACAACUAGAAUGGUUGAAAUUAAUAAGAUAGCAAUUACAACCCAAGAGGUAAUAAGUACUUGAGCAUGCACUUGAAAAUCCCCUAUUUGCCAAUAGAAAUGUUGACCUACUUCCACAGCCGAUAUAUCAUAGAAUCUGUUUAAUGUGUUGAUGUAACAUAAUAGAACAUUCAUAUUGCCCUGUCCUCUAAAAUAAAAAAAUAUAACUUGAAAGGGAAUUAUUUUGAUUCAACCAUUUCCUUAUUUUACUUUGAUUUUCUAUUUUGAAUACCUACUAAUCACAAAAUAUUUCUUUUUACACAAUUUUGUAAUGCUAUAAUACCCAAUUCCAAAAAUCUAUGACCGCCCAACCAAAUCUAAAAAUGGAUUUAUCUUAUUAUUAAUCAAUAAUUUCGUANAAUCUAAAUUAAGGUCUUUCCUGUUCUUUUCCGCCUUUCCUUAUUGGAUAAAAGAAAAGUCGGUGGCGACUCUUGCUAACCGCGACAUUGCGAUUAAAAACACAUAAAGUCAGUUCACCGUAUGACAACCUCUUCUUGGGGAGCAAUGCUAGCGACGAAAAUGCUGGGAAUAUCAUUAUUAAUCAUAAAGUUGAAAAAUGAUUUGCUAAGAAAUAAUUCCACGAGCACAUGCAAGGUAAUAACUUUAUUUGGAAAUAAGGAAUGUCUAUAUACAUGAAUGACCUUGGAUCCUGAUAUUUUAUAUUUUCUUUUUGUAUGGUGUUCCAAUUUAGGUGGGAAUACUAUGCAUGGGAGGAUGCAUGAGACGUAUGCAUUAUGCAAUUGAUGGGGGUAUUUGGUUGUGCAUGUAGGAAUGCGAAUGAUUUUUAUUUUGUUGAAAUUCCCAUUUUGUGGGAGUUUUAUGCAUGAGUAUGUUGAUGACUGGUACGACCGUGUUUUUUAAUUUUCUGUUUGGUAGGAAAACCAUGUAUGGAUGAUUCGUGUGAUGCAUGUGGGAAUGCAACUGGAUAAUUGGAUAUUUUUGUAGGGUUUAAUUCUUGAUUGCCAACGAGGUUAGACUUUAAAUGGGAACUGCCAGAUGAGAACUGGUGAAGGAGAUUGAACUGCCAAAUGAGGACAACACUUGAAGGAUAUCUUACCAGACGCGAACUGGUGAAAAUAAUUGAAAUGUCAGACAGGACUGAAUUUGUUUUUGUUUGUCAGACGGGAACUGAUUUUUUUAAAAUAGGCUACCAGACGAGAACUGGUGAAAAUAAUUGACUACCAGACAAGAACUGGUAUCAAAAUAAGUGACCUACCAGACGAGAACUGGUAUUAAGAGAUAAUUUACCAGACGAGAACUGGUAUUUGGCAAAUGAUUUGUCAUGCAAGAACUGAUUUUUGAUAUAUUUCGCCAAACGAGAACUGGACUUUGGAAAUAAAUCGCCAGACGAGAACUGGACUUUGGAAAUAAAUUUCCAGACAGGAACUGGGCUUUGAAACGAAUUGCCAGACGGGAACUGGGUUUUGAAAUAAAUUGGCAGACGGGAACUGGGCUUUUGAAAAAGGUUGCCAGACGGGAACUGGGCUUUGAAAUAAAUUGCCAGAUGGGAACUGGACUUUGAAAUAAAUUUCCAGGCGAGAACUGGACUUUGUAAUAAAUUGUCAGAGGGGAACUGGGCUUUGAAAUAAAUUGCCAGAUGGGAAUUGGGCUUUGAAAUAAUUUGCCAGACGGGAACUGGGUUUUGAAAUAAUUUGCCAAACGAGAUUUGGACUUUGAAUUUCCAAGCGAUGUUGGGCUUUGGCGUCAGAUUUUGGGUUUCAAGGCUUUUUGAUGUCAGGUUCAUGUUAUGGGUUAUGCCUGAUAAAUGAUAUGAUAUGCAUGGCUUUAUGCUAGAGCAAAGCAACAUGACUAAUGCAUGAUGAUGAUUUAUGUAAUGAUUGGAAGGUUUCCAAAAUUCCCCUGCGCGGGUAUUGGAAGAGAAGGUUUUUUUUGCAGAAAGGCUUUUGUUUGUCAAAAUGUUAUUUUAUGGGGUGAUAGCGUGAUUCCCCGACACUCAUCUUGAACUCUGCAGUUGAUGACGUGUGAAAAAGCUUUCGCUUGAACAGCUUGAAGUCAGGGAGAUGACUUUCUCCUGUAUGGCUCAUCUUGCCCCAAUGUGAUGGGCCUAUGCAAAAUGUUUACCUCAAAAGGAUUUUAAAAGCAAUUGUACCAUAAUUUGGAGAUGGAUUGCCCCAGAAUUUUGAUCCAUGAAAGGAUUUAUCCUUGGUUAACCGACUCUGGGAGUGGUUGACUUUUCUAUGCUCUUGAGGUAGCUUGCCCCGGUAUGAGCGUUGAAGCGACUUAACUCACCCUAACUGAACAUUGAAGGGGUCUGCCCCUGGCAACAGAACCUCUAGGUGAUCUGCCCCUAGUUAAUAGAGUCCUGAGAUGAUUUGCUCUGGAUCAACUGAUUUUGAAAUGAUUUGCACAUUUAUUAACAGAUGUUAGGGGACUGUUUCAAGCUGACCAAUUCUUGGAGUAAUCUUCCUAUGACCAACUGAUGUUUAGGUGGCAUGUCUCAGAUUCAUAGGUUGUGAGGUAGUCUUGAUUCAGGUCAGCACCAACGAAUGUCCAAGCUCCUUUGAUUGUUCUUUAUUGUUGGAAUUUCCCUGACGUCAAGUACUAUUUUGCAGUUAAAAUUGUUUGUUCAGAAAUGGUAAUUUUAAUGCGAUACUCAUGCAAGUUUUGAAAAAGAAUCAUUUAUUGGAAUGAUGUGAUAGUGUGUGACGAGUGGACCAUGAGUCCAAAUGUAAUAUAAUUUUAAUGCGAUACUCAUGCAAGUUUUGAAAAAGAAUCAUUUAUUGGAAUGAUGUGAUAGUGUGUGACGAGUGGACCAUGAGUCCAAAUGUAAUGCUGAUUUAGCAAUUUAAAGUGUGAAAGACUCAGCGAGAGUAAUGACAUUGAUGUUGAAUACUAGCCAAUCUUUAGGAGUCAGUUUACGUAACUUUACUGUAAUAUGCUUUCGGAAAUAACCCUACCUCAAUUAGGUAUUUUGAGGGUUGUAACGUGGCUUGGUUCAUGGUUAUUGGAACAAAAAGGAUAUAAGGCUCACAGUUUAUUUUAACGCACCCCUUCUUCAUGAUGAUCUCCAAUCCUACGUUCAAUUAAUUCGACACACACUUACCCUUACGAGAUUUGUCCAAGACAUAUUCUUGUAAACGUUUUUCACAAUAAAAAUGAUGGAGAAAAAACCAAUUCAAAUGGAAUGGAUUCAAAAUGAUAUUACUGUAUAGAUCGGGUUUACAAAUGUUAUCAUUUUCGUCCAUUAAAUAAUAUUUAAUUACUUGAAAAAUUUCCGUUAAUUUGUCAAGUUGCAAAUUUUUAAUUAUUGAGAUCUGAUUAUGAGUUAUUAAAUGAUAAAGUGAAUAAAAAUUCGGUAAUAUAGAUGAAUUGCAUCCUUCUGAACCAAGAUUUGGUGUUAGUUGUACCACAUAAUUCAGUAUGUUGCUGUAUCAUCUUGGAUGGGUAUCCUAGGGAUCGCUACUUUUUGGCUUUAUUCGACCAGACUACGAUUGCUGCCGAUAGUUCUCUAGCACAAUCCGAAUCACCAGGAUUGCGUAGUUCCUUUGUUAUACCUGCUUNGGGAUCGAUAAACCUUUUGGAUUUUUCGCAACUUGAAGGCUAUUCCUAAAGGGCAUUAUUAUUAAUUGAAAUUAUAGGAUCUUUUUUAUCCCAUUGUAGAUUUUAAUUGUUGAAUGGUCCAAGCAUCAAUUCUUUUUUCUAGAUUCAUGGAUAUUGAAUCAAUCGAACGUAUUUCUAAUAUCUGUUCCACUUUUGGAAGACCUUGUGUUAUAUCACCGGAUCUCGAUUUUUCAUAUAUGAAUGUAGCUAAAAUAUCUCCUUGAGAAAGGAUCUCCCCAUAAUGGCCGUGAAUGGUUGCUCCUGGAGUUGCCAAAUAAGGAUUAGCCGAUCUUAUUAUUACAGAAUCCAUUUGAACUAUUAUAACUUGACCCGAUUUUGGUUUUAGGUGUGGUCUAUUUUUCAUUUGAGCUAUACAUAUAUUUUCACAAAUAAAUUGUCCAAGACUUAUUCUUGUAAACGUUUUUUCACAAUAAAAAUGAUGGAGAAAAAACCAAUUCAAAUGGAAUUGAUUCAAAAUGAUAUUACUGUAUAGAUCGGGUUUACAAAUUUUAUCAUUUUCGUCCAUUAAAUAAUAUUUAAUUACUUGAAAAAUUUCCGUUAAUUUGUCAAGUUGCAAAUUUUUAAUUAUUGGUAGAUCUUGAUUUAUUGAGUUUUAUUAAAUGAUAAAGUGAAUAAAAAUUCGCAACUUGAAGGGCUAUUCCUAAAGGGCCAUUAUUAUUAAUUGAAAUUAUAGGAUCUUUUUUUAUCCCAUUGUAAGAUUUUUAAUUGUUGAAUGGUCUCAUUUGAAAACAAUUAGAUGAUGACAAAAUUAUCCAAGAUCGGCAUUCUUUAUUUCUAUUCAACAACAUACGAACAGUUCCGUGAUUUUGGCUAAGUGAUUAUUGAAUUUUGCCCUUGGAAUGAAUAGAAAAAAUGGAUUGAUUCGAUCCGUGUAAGAUCUUUUUGAAAUGACAGUCACUUAUUUCGCUCUUUAUGGAUGUUGGUGACCUUUUGAUUUGGAUAUGGUGGUCACUAAAUCUUGUUUUUAUUUUGUUGAGGGUUUUCGUGACCUCCUUUGAUUUUUUGUCUUGAUCCCUAACUUUUGCAUGGAUCGCUUUUUGAAGCUUUAGUUCAUCGGGAUUGCCCCGGUUUUUGCCUAAGUCUCCUUUUGGGGUAUCGACUUAGCGGGCUUUUCUUUGAUUCUUUUUUUUUGAAUGUGACUGCCAAGUCAUUGGUCAUUGAAGAACAAACGCCAUAACCUUCGGAUUUUGCAUGGUUCCUUCUACACUUCAGGAUGUGUGCGAAGAAUAUCAUAUGGUUGAUCUACAGACGGGAUGCUUCGUCUUGUAAUUUGAAUGCAUAGUCAGAUUAACUGAACACUACCCUGCCCCAGGUUAAAUGUAAGGGUUUUGUAGGUCCAAAAGAAACUCGUACUUCUAGGCUCGAAGUGGUUGACUAGGGAUUAAAUCCUUAUCUCUCCAGUGUUUGGGGAUUUUAAACAAUGCCUGUACAUCAUCAGUAGGAUUUUAUCCGAAAGCAUACAGUCAUCAAUUAUGGGUAUUUUGUUUUCGUCAUCCUCCCUUAAAUCUUUGCUAAAACAAGAGUUUUGAUAAAGAAAUGAAAAAUGAGCGAAUGCGAGAUAAUUAAUUCAAAACAUGCAUCAUUACUUCAUCAAUAUUACCAUUAAAAACAACAAUGUUUAUACACAAGCAGCUUUUAACAACAAAGAAACUAUGAAUGCAAAAAUAGAAACAAAUCAGUCCAACGAUUGCCAGUGUUGAGGAUGUCUUCCUGUCUGAACUACUAGCAUUAGGAGAUACUCUAUGAAAUUUUUGAACUCAUUCUGACGAGAGGUUAAUGUGCACCAACAGGCUUCCUUCUGAAAAGGAUAUGUACCUUUUGUCGAUCAAUUGUUGCACUUUAGCUUUUAAAGCAUUGCAGUCUUCAGUUGAGUGCCCUAUUGUUCCGGCAUGAUAUCCACAUUGCACAUCAGGAUCAUAUCCAGGUGGGUAUGGUUCUGACAAUGGCCUGAGAGACUUGGGCUCUACUAGCGAGCUUUGAAUCAAACAUGGCAAAAGUUGACUGUAUGACAUAGGGAUUGGAUCGAGAGGAGCAUUCCUUCUUUCUAGAUUGUUUCAAGGCCUAUGUUAGUUUUGAUGUUGAUUCUGAUAUCCUUGACCAUGAGAUAUUUGAUUUGUAUGAGGAACAGUCCAUGGUUGCUUGAAUGGUGCUCUAGGCCUUGUUGGUUGCCUAUAAGGAUAACGUGGUGUUGGAAAUGGUGAUUACUGAGAAGGUGAAGAACCAUAAGGUUUGGCUGGUGCAUCGUGAGAAUACCCAACAUCUUCCAUGACUGCAUUUAUUUCAUCAUCCUCUUCCUUUUGGGAAUCGCUGAGGGAUUUUGUCUCGCUAGCUUGGUUGCUCGAGGCACCUUAGAUUCUUCCACUUUUUAGGGCACUCUCGACGCGUUCUCCAAUUGCCACUAAGUGAGCGAAGUCCGAUGAUGCGUUGCUAAUCAUCCUUUCGAAGUAUGGACUUUGCAGGGUGUCCCUGAAUAAUUCCAUCAAUUCUUUGUCUAAGAGUGGUGGCUCAAUGCAAGCCGCUAGCUCUCUCCAUCUUUGGGCAUACCCUCUAAAGGAUUCAUUGUCUUCCUGAGAUAAGGCUCUUAGCUGCAUGCGGUCGGGAGCUAUGUCCAUAUUAUAUUUUUAUUGCUUCAAGAAUAUGUUAGCUAGGUCCAACCAUGAUUGAACAUGAUUCCUUUCUAACUUCAUGUACCAACUUAAUGAUUCCCCAGUCAAACUGUUCUGGAAACAGUGAAUCAUCAACUUAUCAUCGUGGGCAUGAGAGGUCAUUUUUCGACAAAACAUCACCAAAUGGUGCUUUGGAAAUCCAUCCCCUUUGUACUUCUCAAAUUUCGGUACUUUGAAUUUUGGAGGUAUAACCAGGUCAGGUACCAAACACAUGCCUAAGGCAUUCAGUUCAACCGUAUCCUGCCUUUCUAUGGCCUUGAGUCUUUUCUCUAGCAUGCAACAUCUUUUAGCAAUCUCAUCAUCUUGUGGUUGUUCAGUAUUAACCACUAGGCUUGUUCCAUGGGAAUCUGGCACAGAGAAUGCAAAACUGUGAUACUCAACAGCAUCAUGACGUGAGGAGUCUUGAACAACAUGACAUUCUUGUACAAUAGAGUUAUCAACUAGGGUUUGCACAAGCUGAGGUUGGGUAAGACCAAUUACUGUAGCUAGCAUAACAUUCUUAACAACUGCAGUUUGCUGAAUGUUGUCCUUCCUCUUCUCUAAAGCUAUCAUAGCCUCCACAAGUUGGUAUAUCUGGUUUUUCAUCGAGUCAACAUCUCCUCCCAAUGCAAUAUGACUUUUCUCCAACGGAUCCAUGAUCUUUCAAGAGCUACUUCAAGUCUGAUAUGAGUAUCGGGAAAUCAACUGCAGGCUAUGGACGAAGGGUGGAUGAGUUUUUUUGUAUAUAUUUUGUGUGAAAGGUGAAAUGCAAUGCAUGACGAUUGCAGAUGCAAUGAUAUGUGUAUGAGUUGUAGUGACAUGUUCAGGAUCACAGAUUCAAAGUGUUUUCAGAUGGAUCAAAAUAACGGGUAAACGACAAAUAUCUCUGAUUAAUGGAACCCCAUGGGUAGGCUCUACAGUUGGUAGGUUCUCAGAGUCAUGGAUAUUUCUUGAGGACGUCACUGCCGUGACGAAGACUCGUCGGACAAUAGUAUCCUUAAGAAUAUCUCGUCUAGGUGAGGUCUUUGUAUUAUCCCAACAAGGAAAACUCCAUGAGGAUUCUACUACACGACUCUCGAGUCCAAGGUUCUAACAAGGUUCUCAGAGUCAUAGGUCGAGGUUGGAAAUAUUACUGUAAGAUAGUAAUACGUCCAAGGGAUCUCAUCUGAUUGGGAAACAAGUCUGCAACUUCGUAGGUUGAUACUAACAUAACGGUGGAUAUCUGGGUUAAAGGUCUCUCGAGUCAUUGAUCCCACCUGAGAAAUACUAUCAUUCGUGACGAAAACUCGUCGGGCAAAAUAUCUCAAGAAUUCUCCUCUAGGCGGGUCUUCGUAUCUUCCCAACAAGGAAGACUCCUUGUGGGCGUCCACUACGCAACCACCAACUUAAUCUUAUGGUUUUUCUCAGACUCGGGUAGAGAGCCUAUCUCACAAAGUAUCACCAAUCAUAGAACCCCCAAUAAGACACAAUCAAUAAACCAUAACACAAUAAUUACAACAGAAUAAUAAUAAUAGAAUAAAAAUAACAAACAAACAAACAAAAUUAACACACAAUACAGAAACUGAACUAAAUUAGGCUUCACUCUCUUUUGCUUGGAGCUAUUUCCCCAGCAAAGUCGCCAUCUGUCGCAUCUCGAAAAAUACGAUUCCCCGCGAUGGUCGCGGAAAAAUUAUGUUCGAACAGAGUCGCCACCGAACUUUAUUUAUUCCGAUGAAGGAUUAGGAAAAUAUCGAUAAAACCUUUUGGAAAUGGAAUAAUGGUCGUCGCAACCAUAUUCGGGUUCGGGAGUGGAUUACGCAAGGGGAAGGUAUUAGCACCCCUCACGUCCGUUGUACUCAACGGGAACCUUUUAGUUCAAUUUUGCGAUUUAAGUGUUAAUUUAUGUUUGUUUGUUAUCUUUAGGUUAUAGAAUUAUUUAAAAAAAAUAGAAAUGGAUGAGAACCUCAGAAAGGGAGAGGGGAGGUUUUUUAUUAGUGUGCUCGCGAAGAUACAUCAAUCUCCUACCUACGUAUCCUUAUCGUAAUAAGGAAAUCAGAGCAUUCGUAGUUCGGGGAACUACGGUUGGUUGGUGUUUUUUAAUGAACAACUGUGUAGAUCACGUUCUAAAGGCUAAACGCUGGCUUGUCUACUCUCGGUGGAGGCUUAAGCGUUGGUUUGUUGUGCGCAUUAGAAAGGAUUAACAGUGUUCUUUCUGAAAAGAGUUUUUAUCACACGAGGGUGACAAGUUGAGUUGAUAUGUUUGAUGUUUUGUUUGAUUGGUUUCGAUCGCACGAGGGCGAGAAAGGAUAAACUUGAUAGGUUAAGAUAUUUUUGGUUGGAUGACAAUUACUCGGAUAUUCGAGUAAGACAACUUGUAUCCCAAUAACCGAGAAAGGGAAUAGAAGACUCUAGACCGCUUUCUUUUUCAUCCUUAAUUAUAGGAAGGAUUUGGUCAUAAUUAAGGUGUUUUGAAUGGAUGACGAAUGCUCGGAUAAUCGAAUAAGACAACUCGUAUCCUAAUAAUCGGGUAAGGGAAUAGAAGACUCUAGACCAAUUUCUGUUUCAUCUGAGUAAUUAUGAAAAUAAGGUUGUAUGUGGUUGACGUAUUCUAGAAUAAACGACAAGUGCUCGAAUGGCUGAAUAAGACGACUCAUAUCCAAGCAUUUGAGAAGAGGAAUUGAAACAAGUGCUCGAAUGGCUGAAUAAGACGACUCAUAUCCAAGCAUUUGAGAAGAGGAAUUGAAAACUCAAGACCAUCUCCCUUUUCGUAUAGUUUACUGUGAAAGUGAUUUGAUUAAGUCACAAGUUUUUGGGAAAAUGACAAUUGUUUGACUAACCGAGUAAGAGAACUCGUAUUCAAUCAAUUGAGGAGAGAAAGUUGAAAACUCAAAGUCAUAUCCCUUUUCAUUUAGCUUAAUGUGAAAAUAAUUUGAUUUAGUCGGGUUUGGAAGUUUGUAGAGGAACGACAAUUAUUGGACUAACCAAGUAGGAGAACUUGUAUUCAAAUAAUCAAGGAGAGGAAUUGAAAACUCAAAGCCAUCCUCUUUUUCAUUUCCAAAUGAAAUGUUGUUUGAUUGUGAUUGGAUACGUUCUUUUAAUUUUUAAUGAAAAUACUCGACAUCGGAUCGAGGUUUUAAUUUUGUGUUUAUGAAUGAAAUGAAUUUUAUUUUAGUGUAUUCAUCAUCUACUCGAUUAAUUAAAAAUCAAAUAGGUCUCAUUGUAAGAAAGCCCAAGAGUAAGCUAUGUGAGGUUGAUGGCGAUGCUAUUACAAGCGAUCGACUUACAGAGGGGUUUUGAAAAUGGGCUCGACUUUGAAUCGAGGAUUGUUUGGUUUUGAAUUGAUGGAAUGAAAUUGCAUUUGUAUUAUAAAAUGAUAAUGGAAAAUGAUGGUGAUAUUGAAAGAGAAAGAAUUAAGUAAUGAUAUUGAUCUAUCCAAUUGGACCGGUGUGCUCAAACCGGUUUAUGCAAAAUGACAAUCAUGACUAAUGUCAUUUGUGAGAUCCAAACGCGGUGAAAAAUUCUAUUUAAUUUAUUGCAACUUAGGCAACAUAACGACAUGCAAAUGGUGAAUCCACAGAUAAUAGUCGAUUAAGCGUAAUAGAAUCGAACAAACAUCAACAUUAAUGCAAAUGGUGAAUCCACAGAUAAUAGUCGAUUAAGCGUAAUAGAAUCGAACAAACAUCAACAUUACAUUACAAUAACUCUCAUAAAUUAUUUUGACAUCUAUCAUUGCAAACGGAAGGUGAGAACAAAUAACAAACUUAACCAUUAUCAAUUUAAUACUUUCUCUAAAUUUAAUAGAAGGUUAGAAAAUAAUUUAGUAAAAAAAAAUGAUUCCACUUGUAUCCACUUAUCAACAGUAAUCACUUAACCAUUAUCAAUUUAAUACUUUCUCUAAAUUUAAUAGAAGGUUAGAAAAUAAUAUAGUAAAAAUAAAAAAAGAUUCCACUUGUAUCCACUUAUCAACAGUAAUCACAUAAGUCGAAAAAGGAAAGGAAAUACUUGAAACUCUAUUCUCCCCAAACACGUUUUUUAAACACGUUUUUUUAUAUGCAGUUUGUGUAAUUUCUUUUCAUCAAGAGAACAUGUUCUAAUGAACACAGACUCAUAAUCCCAUAACUUCACCCCUAUGAUCUAAAACUCAAAGCAAACAGAAAGCGAAAUUAAAAUGAAUAGUGAAAAUGGGUCAUCGUAUGGUUACCGAAUUUGGAAGCGGCGGCGGAGGAUGAACAGCGUUUUAUAAUUGGAAAACAAAUGCGUGGCAGCGGUAUUUCUGGCGAUGGCCCUGUUUGAAGUGAUUUCUGCUGGAGACUGAACGGUUUAGUUCGUCGAUGGUGAAUCGGAAUUCCGGAGACGGAACAGUUAGUUCGACGGUGGAUUUGAACUCCCGGAAAUGGAACGGUGGAGUUCGACGGUGUAUUGUUGUUGAAAACGGAUCGAGGCAGAAGGAGGGUAUGAGUGAGGUCGUACACGGUUGGGGUUUAGUGAUGGAGGGUGUGUGUUGGUCGAAUCACGGCGGAUGUGUCGAAGGCGAUGGGGUACAGAUGAAGAAGUUUCGGCGGCUGUAGCGGUUUGGAUUAGGUGUAGGAGCUAGAGGGAGAUAGAUUGUUGGCGUUGAGAAAUGGAUUUGCGGCGGUUAUGGGUUGAGGAUGGAGUGGGGUCGCGUUGUUGAAGAGUGAAGAGCGGCGGAAGAAGGAAGGAAGGUGGGGGAGGAACAAUGGUUCUUCCUUUUCUUUUUCUUUCUGUUUUCUUCUUAGUAGAGAGAGGAGAGAGGGAGGUGAGUGAGGAGUAUGAAAAGUGUCCACGGUUUCCUCUUUUCUUCCUUUUUGUUGUAGCAGAGAGAGUCGUUGAGCCUGGAUAGUAGGGGUCACCUUUUUUCUUUAUUACCGUUGGAGUUAUCCAUUCAAGAGAGAGAGAUUAUUUAUUUAUUUAUAUCCGUUGGAUGAGAGAGAGACCUUUUUUAUUAUUUUUCUUUUUAAUUAUUAUUCAAUUUAUUUCUAAAUUCUGAUUGGAUAAUAAAAUGUACAUGGAUUGUGAACUUAGACCCUUGAUUAAUUUGAAUCAACGAUUCAGAUUGAAUCAAAGAAGCACACCAAGAAAUAUUUCUAAAUUCUGAUUGGAUAAUAAAAUGUACAUGGAUUGUGAACUUAGACCCUUGAUUAAUUUGAAUCAACGAUUCAGAUUGAAUCAAAGAAGCACACCAAGAAACACACAUUAUUUAAAUAAACCAAAAUGUAUAUAAUGCAUUUUUUAGAUGACUUAAUCGAUUUAAAACAAUUUUAAUCAAUUGAAUCAAAUAAAAUUUACAACUUUUUAAAUAACCUUGAUAAAAUUAAAAUAAUAACAUGGAAAAUUUUAUUUAUUCAAUCUGACUAUUUUGACGAAAGAACAAAAUUAAAACGACUAAAAAUGAAUAAAAUCCGGGCAAAAAUUUGCUCGAAAAGUUAAAUCGAAUGCAUGAGAAUGAUCAGUGCAAAAUAUACUUAUUGAAAAAAAUACAGCGUUUCUUCAAAUUCUGAAAUAAAUUUUCACCGGUUAAAAGGCUCAGGUGGGUCAAAACGCAACUGAAAUAGCUGCUGAAAAAUAAAACGAGCACACCAGGUUAAACUACAUGAACUGUAGAUUAAUAAUACUGGUAUCUGUAAUUUUAAUUCUGAAACUUUUUACCCGCUGAUUUUACAUGUUCUUGAGAAAUGAUUUAACCAAUUUGUCUGUAUUUUCAAUAAAUUUAUUCUGAAUGAUAUUUUAGGUUUUAUUCA